rnacentral:lncRNA from 1 species
AAAUUAGUUUCCAAACAAAAAUAAAUGUAGUUUCCUUAAAAAACUCUUCUAUAAAAAGCAAAAGUAAAAGUAACAGCAAUAAUCAUGUCAAAUAAAUAGACCUUGUUGUAAAAUAUAAGUUUAUUAGAGUUUAGAGGUGAAUGACAAUUAUACCCAUGUAGUCCUAGAAAUUAUUACUAUUGUAUCCCUGAUUCUGCCCUAUAAAUACAAAGCUUUGGUUCUUAAUAAAACACACACAAGACUAUUGACUUUUCUCCGUUCUUUUCUCUGUUCUUUACUUUUAUAACACGUUAUCAGCACGAUAGCUUAAUUUUUCAAAGUUUAGUAAAGGUAAUAAUUUUUAUAGACAUGAAUAUUUAUCAUGUGUACCAAAAUUAAUUUGGUAGCAUGUGAAAUAUCUCAAUAUACAUAUGCAUCAUAAUGGGGUUGCUUUUUCUUCUCUUUUUUCAUCGGCAUGCAUAUUAAUUUUAAUUCACGUUUGUAUGUGUAAUCUGAACACAUUAAUUCACCUUUUUUAUUCAUACACAAUUAUUUUUCCACAUAUAAUUCAGUAUUAAUUCUGUCUUUUGAAUAUGUUACAUAUUAGUUAUAUAUUUAAUUUUUAUAUAUAUGAAAUUCAUAUACAUGUUUAGUAUCUUUUACAUGUUGGUAAAAGAUUUAACCAAUAAAUGAUUUAGUCAAUUUUGUUAACUUUUAUGUAUGGAGAUUCUUUUUCUUAAUGAAUGUUUGGUAAUUAAUUUUUCUAUAUAAAUUCAUAUAAUGUCUAUAUGUUAAUUGAAUAAUUUUAGAUAUUAUUCUAUGAACUUUAAAUUAAGAAUUUAUCAUCUUAUUGUUCCAAAAGUAGCACAACAUUAUAAUUAAUAUUCUAGAAUAUUAAUUGUAUAUCUAUCUAUUAUAAAUAGUUCGUUGUUGCUCCUAAAGUAGAACAACAUUAUUAAUAUUUUAGAAGAAUAUUACUUGCUUAUAAAGAGCAUGAUAUUACAAGUUCAAUAUUCCAAAAGAAUAUUGACUCAAUGCUUCUGAAGAAGCAUAAUUUAAAUUUUAGUUAUUUUAAACAAAUUUAAUGUUGAUGUUCUCGAAGAAACGUAACACACGUUAUAUAAAUAUUCAAGAAGAAUAUUUCAUUGUUACUUGUGUAGGGCAUAAAUUCUAUUAUUUAGUUCGAAAGGUAAAAUGAAUCGUUAAUGUCAAUAUUUCAGAAGAAUAUUGUAUUUAUGCUCUUGAAGAUUAUAUGUCUCGUUGUGUCCUAAAGAAAGCACACUUUAUAUAUAAAAAAAUAAUAAUAUUAAAAAAAAGUUGUGUUAGUGUUACUAAAGAAACACAAUGUUAUUAAUAUUUUAAAAAAGAAUAUGAAUUGCUCCAAAAGAAUAUAAUAUUAUAAUUUCAAUAUUUUUGAAUAAUAUUGAUCGAUUAUAUGUAAAAUCAUGAAUUAAAUUACUCUAUUUAUUUAUGUGUCCAUUUUUCUGGAUAUGUAUUUAGAUAUUGAUGUUCUAGUAAGAUUUUAUUGCUUUUAAAGAGUAUAAUGAUAUAAGAUCUAACCUUAAAUUAUGUUUUUUAUUCUUGAAGAGUGAAUCCUUUCAUGAUUAUUACUGUAAACAAUAAUAUGUUAUUGCUCCUGAAAAGCAUUACAUUAAAAUUUUUCAUAUUUUAGAAGAAUAUUGAUCUAUUGUUUUUGAAUAAGUAAUAGUAAAAUAUAAUGUGAUCUCAAAAUAACACAUUAUAAUUUUCAUUAAUAUUCUAGUUAGAUCUUAAUUGUAGUGUAAAGGUCCGAAUAAAUUUCUAUUGUAGGAUGCAAUGAUUUGGGUGCUUAUCACUUUUAGUUUGGCAUCGUGAACACUACGAAAUAAUUAUAUGGAAAAAGAAAGGGAGGAAGAAGAUUGGUGAAUAGAUAAAACUGUGUUGGAAACAAGUUCAAUGUGUUGGAACUUAAGCUCACAAUGCAUUGAACUUAUCCUCGCGCUCCAUUCCAUGUUUUUAAGCAUAUGGUAUUUUGAAAACAGGUCAUCUCUACGUAAAGAGUGAUGUAUAUGGCUUUGGCGUGGUGCUGCUUGAGAUGUUGACUGGUUUACGUGCACUUGAUACCAAACGACCUAGUGGCCGGCAGAAUUUGGUUGAUUAUGCUAAACCCUUUCUCUGUCAGAAAAGGAAACUAAUAUCCAUUAUGGAUGUACGGAUGGAGGGAAAAUAUUCUUCGAAGGCGGCAUUACAUGCAGCUCAACUCACUUUGAGAUGCCUUGAAUCAGAACCCAAAAAGCGGCCUUCAAUGAAAGAAGUUGCAGAGACGUUGGAGCAAAUUGCAACUAUUAGAAAACCAAAAGAAUCCAAAAGUAAGUCCGUGCAUUCUUCAUCUCAUCACCAUCACCAUGGAGAUAGAGUAGGAUCUGGAAGAUAAAAUGAACAAGGCCAAGCUAAUAUGUUCGAAAACACAAUUUGUAAGUUCCCACGUUAUAAUUUGUUCAAUUUCGAUUUAUUAAAAUUAUUUAGUUUUAACAAAUGCUCAAUUCUUUUCUUAGGAAAUUCUUUAAUACUUUGUUUUGUACUUUACAUGAAGAGUGUGGUUUUGUUUGCGAAAAUGAGUAAUGAUUCUAAAUUUUAUGUCGUCAUAAUAAAGAUUUGUUCUUUAUUUGUCCCCAUCAACUUCUAAAAACAUCUCCAAAAACUCUUAAUCAUGAAUGCAUUUAACAAAAUUGCAAACUUCAAUACUCCACUACUUAAAAUAAUCAUACCAUAUAAAACUAAAAAAUCUUUUGAAGAUACUUUAUAAAAAUUAAAGUCUCUUAGAAAUGCUUUAAGUGACUCCAUCUUAUGGUUAUGGCAUGUUUGGUAUAAUUUUUGAAAAGUCAAAAUGAACUUUUGAGAUUCAAAGGCUGUCUUUUGGAUCUAUUUGACUAAUUUUAUUAAAAAUGCUUCUAUUAGUUAAAAGAGAUUUAGAAAAAAUUGGUUCAAUGUUUCCUCUAAAAAUACUUUCAGAUUAGGAAGUUCUUUUGAAAAUUAGUUUCCAAACAAAAAUAAAUGUAGUUUCCUUAAAAAACUCUUCUAUAAAAAGCAAAAGUAAAAGUAACAGCAAUAAUCAUGUCAAAUAAAUAGACCUUGUUGUAAAAUAUAAGUUUAUUAGAGUUUAGAGGUGAAUGACAAUUAUACCCAUGUAGUCCUAGAAAUUAUUACUAUUGUAUCCCUGAUUCUGCCCUAUAAAUACAAAGCUUUGGUUCUUAAUAAAACACACACAAGACUAUUGACUUUUCUCCGUUCUUUUCUCUGUUCUUUACUUUUAUAAAACGUUAUCAGCACGAUAGCUUAAUUUUUCAAAGUUUAGUAAAGGUAAUAAUUUUUAUAGACAUGAAUAUUUAUCAUGUGUACCAAAAUUAAUUUGGUAGCAUGUGAAAUAUCUCAAUAUACAUAUGCAUCAUAAUGGGGUUGCUUUUUCUUCUCUUUUUUCAUCGGCAUGCAUAUUAAUUUUAAUUCACGUUUGUAUGUGUAAUCUGAACACAUUAAUUCACCUUUUUUAUUCAUACACAAUUAUUUUUCCACAUAUAAUUCAGUAUUAAUUC